rnacentral:rRNA from 1 species
UACGUAGGGUGCAAGCGUUAAUCGGAAUUACUGGGCGUAAAGCGUGCGCAGGCGGUUUUGUAAGUCAGAUGUGAAAUCCCCGGGCUUAACCUGGGAACUGCGUUUCUAACUGGCAGGCUUGAGUGUGGCAGAGGGGGGUGGAAUUCCACGUGUAGCAGUGAAAUGCGUAGAGAUGUGGAGGAACACCGAUGGCGAAGGCAGCCCCCUGGGCUAACACUGACGCUCAUGCACGAAAGCGUGGGGAGCAAACAGG